rnacentral:rRNA from 1 species
GGCCUAACACAUGCAAGUCGAGCGCCCCGCAAGGGGAGCGGCAGACGGGUGAGUAACGCGUGGGAAUCUACCCAUCUCUACGGAACAACUCCGGGAAACUGGAGCUAAUACCGUAUACGUCCUUCGGGAGAAAGAUUUAUCGGAGAUGGAUGAGCCCGCGUUGGAUUAGCUAGUUGGUGGGGUAAUGGCCUACCAAGGCGACGAUCCAUAGCUGGUCUGAGAGGAUGAUCAGCCACACUGGGACUGAGACACGGCCCAGACUCCUACGGGAGGCAGCAGUGGGGAAUAUUGGACAAUGGGCGAAAGCCUGAUCCAGCCAUGCCGCGUGAGUGAUGAAGGCCCUAGGGUUGUAAAGCUCUUUCAACGGUGAAGAUAAUGACGGUAACCGUAGAAGAAGCCCCGGCUAACUUCGUGCCAGCAGCCGCGGUAAUACGAAGGGGGCUAGCGUUG